rnacentral:rRNA from 1 species
CGUUAGCGACAGAAGAAGCACCGGCUAACUCCGUGCCAGCAGCCGCGGUAAUACGGAGGGUGCGAGCGUUAAUCGGAAUUACUGGGCGUAAAGCGCAUGCAGGUGGUUUGUUAAGUCAGAUGUGAAAGCCCGGGGCUCAACCUCGGAAUUGCAUUUGAAACUGGCAGACUAGAGUACUGUAGAGGGGGGGGUAGAAUUUCAGGUGUAGCGGUGAAAUGCGUAGAGAUUCUGAAGGAAUACCCGGUGGCGAAAGGCGGCCCCCUGGGACAGAUACUGACACUCAGAUGCGAAAGCGUGGGGGAGCAAACAGGAUUAGAUACCCUGGUAGUCCACGCCGUAAACGAUGUCUACCUUGGAAGGUUGUGGCCCUUGAGCCCGUGGCCUUUCGGAGCUAACGCGUUAAGUAGACCGCCUGGGGAGUACGGUCGCAAGAUUAAAACUCAAAUGAAUUGACGGGGGCCCGCACAAGCGGUGGAGCAUGUGGUUUAAUUCGAUGCAACGCGAAGAACCUUACCUACUCUUGACAUCCAGAGAACUUUCCAGAGAUGGAUUGGUGCCUUCGGGAACUCUGAGACAGGUGCUGCAUGGCUGUCGUCAGCUCGUGUUGUGAAAUGUUGGGUUAAGUCCCGCAACGAGCGCAACCCUUAUCCUUGUUUGCCAGCGAGUAAUGUCGGGAACUCCAGGGAGACUGCCGGUGAUAAACCGGAGGAAGGUGGGGACGACGUCAAGUCAUCAUGGCCCUUACGAGUAGGGCUACACACGUGCUACAAUGGCGCAUACAGAGGGCAGCCAACUUGCGAAAGUGAGCGAAUCCCAAAAAGUGCGUCGUAGUCCGGAUUGGAGUCUGCAACUCGACUCCAUGAAGUCGGAAUCGCUAGUAAUCGUGGUUCAGAAU